rnacentral:tRNA from 1 species
AGCGGAGCGCCUGACGAAAGGGUUGUUUUGAUAGAACAAAUUAUGUAAGAAAUACCUUCACUA